CUUCCUUCAUGCUUUUGUGGGGCCCUGGAUCUCAGGCCUGGGGAGGCUGGACUAACUUGCGUAUUAGCUGGCCUUCUCCCUCCCUUCCUCAUGGAGAAAAUCGGACAACAGGAUGGAUGAACUGAGUGCCCAGCUCAGCAGAACUCUGGGCAAACCUGCUACAGCCUGGAAGGGAGAGCCCUGGGUCCCCCUGAGUGGGCCAGGGAGGGCACAGGGGGCUGCUUAGGUUGGGGUCAGGCUGCAGAAGGCUGGGCUGUGUCUGUGAAGGUGGUUGGGGGAGGUGGGGGUGCAGUGAGCUCCCCACAGCGAGGGAAGGGCCCUGGGACCCCUUUCCUAGCUCACAGCAGGCAGUAGGGAGACAGGGUAGAGACCAGGGAAGCCCCUAGGCUGUCCCUCUGUCCCCCAGCCCUGCCAGCUGCGGGGCCUGGGCUUUGAUGCCUCAGACCCCCUCCCCGCUGGCUCUGAGCCUGCCCCCUCCUGUCCCUCUUGCCCUCUUCAUCUCUGGCUGCCAGCAGUUACAAGGCCCUGGGGACUGUCCUGUCCUCUGUGGGACCCAGAGCCUGCCUGGCAGGGGAGGGGGCUCUCCUGCCUUCUCCCCGGGACCAGGGUGCGCGCCAUGAUCUCAGACUCGUGUCCCAGCCCCCCUCCUCUGCUGCCAGGACUGCCCUGGGAGGCGGGAGCAAGGCAGGAUCCUUCUGGGGCUGCCCCUGUCCUAGCCCCCGCCUCCCCGGCGUCUGGCGGCGUUCCAGGGCCUUUGACGCGGGAGGGCGGGAGGCCGGGAGGCCAGGCCGGGGAUAAAGCUGGGUUGGGGGCGUGGCCACAGGACUCCAGGACUUGGAAGGAGGGUGAGGAAACAGGCACACAGUGACCGCCGAGGUCGCCUGACGCUGCCUGCCGCUGACCAGCCUGGGAUUUAUGGAGAGGGCCUCGGGGGGCAGCUCUCAAUACCGCCGCGCCCAGCAUCGCCGCCGCACCUGCUGCUGACGGGGCCCCCGCGCCUCUGGCCCCC